rnacentral:rRNA from 1 species
GACGAACGCUGGCGGCGUGCUUAACACAUGCAAGUCGAACGGAAAGGCCCUGCUUUUGUGGGGUGCUCGAGUGGCGAACGGGUGAGUAACACGUGAGUAACCUGCCCUUGACUUUGGGAUAACUUCAGGAAACUGGGGCUAAUACCGGAUAGGAGCUCCUGCUGCAUGGUGGGGGUUGGAAAGUUUCGGCGGUUGGGGAUGGACUCGCGGCUUAUCAGCUUGUUGGUGGGGUAGGGGCUUACCAAGGCUUUGACGGGUAGCCGGCCUGAGAGGGUGACCGGCCACAUUGGGCCUGAGAUACGGCCCAGACUCCUACGGGAGGCAGCAGUGGAAAAUAUUGCACAAUGGGCGGAAGCCUGAUGCAGCAACGCCGCGUGCGGGAUGACGGCCUUCGGGUUGUAAACCGCUUUCGCCUGUGACGAAGCGUGAGUGACGGUAAUGGGUAAAGAAGCACCGGCUAACUACGUG